AUGCAAAUUGACCCUCUUCUAUUUGUCACUCUUCCUGAUGGAGAUGACAGACCUCGACAUGUUCCUACAUCCUCAAGCAAUCAAAGGGACCUUGAUUCUUGUAUUGAUUUAUUGCUAAAGUUACAUUGUCAUAGGUUCAAUAUGACGCAAAAUAGGGCUAAGUGGACAGCAAGGUAUGAGAAAGGUCUCGUGGAGGUACUUACAGAGUACAAUCUAUCUCAUUACCGUGGCCAAAAUGGGUGGACUACCGAAGGAUGGAAUCAAGUUGUUAAGGAACUGAACAAUUUAUAUCCAGAGGCAAGGUUUACCAAGGAUCAGGUUCAAGAUAAGGAAGCUCAGUUGAAAAAGCACUAA
rnacentral:rRNA from 1 species